ensembl:lncRNA
GGGCAGGGAAGCUGCCGUGGCCCGCCUACAGCGUAGGGUCUGAAGCCAGAGAGAUGGUGGGAGAUGAAGAAAAGACGAAGAAACCAAGAAAGAAGGGGCACAGCGGCUACAUUCCUCACGGGAGCUGAGGCACCAUCGCAGACAGCUAUGGACCGGGCUGGAGUGUCCAGGCAGAGGACUGUUCUCCUCCAUACAUAAAGAACUCAGACAAAAAGGAGACCUCCCCCAAAAUAAAAGAACCAAUCAAAAACAAACAGCUGAAAUGAAGACACCUCUCAGAAGAAGAAAAGCAAAGAGCCAAUGAAUACUUGAAAAUAACAGUCAGGACCUCUAGUCAUCACAGAGACGCAAAUUAAAGUGACCCUGAGAUUUUCUCUCACCCCAGGAGGAAUGGCCAUCAUCCAGGAACCAAAUGAUAGCCAAUGCUGGCGAGGCCGAGGGGAAAAGGGAACGCUUGUCACGUUUUUUUUGUACCAGGGAUCGAACUUAGGUCCUUGAGCUUGCAGGGCAGGCGGCAGAACCACUGAGCUAAAUCCCGGCCCAUGCUUCUCACUUUUAAGCAGAUGUUUGCGAUAAUAAUGAUUGCACUUGCUGCAGGAGUUGGUGCGCGGACACGAAUCAUUUGCUUAGUUUCCAACCCCUCCCACCUGCCUUGCUCCUUCCAACUCUUGGUCCCUUUCUGUUUGCAAAAACUCUCCAUAUUUCUCUUCAGUUCUUUUUUUCCUGUCCCCUUUCCCCCUCCUCUGUUUCCCUCUCAUCAUCUCUUGUUCCUCUUUCCAUUUAAAAAAGCUCUCUCUAUUCCCUAGUAUCUAUUUUUUAUUUUGCUUUCUAUUUAUAUUUUGGGUUUCUUAUCUGAGAGAAUCCAUGCAACAUUUAAGCUCGCGGGUCCGAUUUGUUUCACUUAACAUUAUGGUCUCAAAGUGCAUCCAUUGUCUUACUAACACCUCAAGUUUACCCUUUGUUAAGGCAGAGUAGUGCUCCACGGUGCGUAAAUAUCACACUUUCUUUAUCCACCCCCCUGACCCCCGGACAUCUAAAACUGACAUUAAGCCGGGAGAUGAAUACAUUCGGUGAAGCCCCAGGUCCUCAGAGCCUGGCUUCUGGAUUCCGCACAUGAAGUGACUUCUGUCUUCACCCACCUUCCCUUGGAGCGCCUCACAGUGGCUUGCAGUCAGCCCAUCAUUCUGUAAAUACUCCACUAUGCAUCUCUAAAGUACUUUAGAUUUUGUCAUAGUAACAUUAACUGCUAAAAUGGAGCACAGACAUUCAAAUCUCCGGUGUUCCAACUUCCUUUCUUCCGACGCAUCCUACACCCUCCCUGUCCUAGUUGCCUUCUUCCCGGCCUGGCCCGACCGCAGAGCCUGCCAGGAAACUUCCGGAUUUGCCAGUCACAAGGAGCGUGACAGCUCGGUGUAGAGGAGAUGCGAUGCUAUGCAUGCUGGGGCAAACUGAGUGUUUGUUACCUGCUUGCCGUUACUUUUGGUAAGAUUCUCCUGUGUGACUCUUGUGCAUGUUCUACUUAGGUUUGAUGCCUCUACUUUUAGGAACUAUAGGUGGAGGAUGUAGCCUCUUCUCUGGUGUACGUUGCCUCUUUUUCUCCAUUUGCAUUUUGUUUAUUUUGUCUUAAAAAUUUUUAAGUAGUCAGCUUUGUCAGUCUUCUUGCCUGAGUGCUUUUGAAUGUGAGUCAUUUGAAGAUAUUUUCAUUCUUCCGAAGUUAUAAAGAAAUUCACUUUUUUUUUUUUGGUGAUGCUGGGGGUUGAACCCAGGGCUUUUGAAUUGAGCUACAUCUCCAGCCCUUUACAUUUUUUUUUUUUAAAUUGUGAGACAGGGUCUAGCUAUGCCACUAAGUUUCCCAGGCUGGCCUUGAACUUGUGAC